rnacentral:lncRNA from 1 species
GAGGAGUAGCAGGAGGUCAUAGUCUUGGAGGCUUCCAUCAUGCUCCAAGGCGCGGAACAGACUAACCUCGUGAGUGGCAGGGCGGGGGAGCCUAAGUAUCACAAGCCACCACGGGUGCAUGACCCACCAUAGCUCGACUAUCACUCUAAAGUCCGAACGAGUCAAGUCUAGAAGAUAACAUGCUAGGAUCUGUGUUGUAUAUAUUGCCUUGCUUGUAUGUUCAUGUUGGUAUAAUUGCAUGCUUUUUAUAUAAUUAGCUCACCCUUGCUUGCUUGUUGUGUUGUGCCAUGUUGUGUGUGCUUUCCUGUUGCAAUGAUCAUCCACUUGGAUGUGAGCAGAGGAAGAUGAGGUUCCUUUGGAGUCAGCUUUGGAAGGAGAUGGCGAUGCUGCAGUCUAGCCCUCUAGGCUUCACUUCUCUGAGUCUAUGUUAU